rnacentral:rRNA from 1 species
AGUCGAUGGGUGAUGAAAACCCGGAGGCGAAGUGAAAGCGAGAACCUCAGUGUUCGCAAGGGAGGAUGGCGGUUGUUCGCGAAGCGGCCCGCCCGCACUCCCGGGGCGCCUGGGAACGAGUUUCCGCAGGCGCACUCGGAGCGCACACGUUGGGACCCGAAAGAUGGUGAACUAUGCCUGGCCAGGAUGAAGUCAGGGGAAACCCUGAUGGAGGUCCGCAGCGAUUCUGACGUGCAAAUCGAUCGCCAGAGCUGGGUAUAGGGGCGAAAGACCAAUCGAAUCAUCUAGUAGCUGGUUCCCUCCGAAGUUUCCCUCAGGAUAGCUGGCGCUAAUUUUGAAAGAGAAGGAGUCUCAUCCGGUAAAGCGAAUGAUUAGAGGCCUUGGGGCCGAAACGACCUCAACCUAUUCUCAAACUUUAAAUGGGUGAGACCUGCGGCUUGCUCGAACGCAUGAAGCCGACGGACGUGGAUCGUGGUGCCUAGUGGGCCAUUUUUGGUAAGCAGAACUGGCGCUGUGGGAUGAA